UGAAAUUUGACCUUGCUCAAAAAUGCAAAAUUGACUGGUCUGAUGGACACAGGAUGGCCGAGCAGUGAUAGUUGUACAUUUCCAUCACUCGUUGUGUUGAUUUCAUCAUGUCCAUUAGGUGAUGUUUUUUCACUAUAGAAUCAUAUUGCAAAUGCACGUGCAUUGUUGUGCAACUGGUAACCCAAAAAUAAAAAUAUGGUUGUAAAUGCAUUUACCGGGACGCCUAUUGUCCAUGCCCGCUAUGGGAGUACCCUACUACGGCCCUCUAUCUAUUGAGUCCGUCCUGAGUGCUUUAUGGACUGUUUAAAAUAUUCUGAUGGAUACGCAUGUUGUGCAACUGGUGAUUGAAAAUAGGCACCUGGUAACCCCCCAAAAAAUAUGCUUGUAAAUGCAUUUACCGGUCAUUCUGAUAUUAAUGCUCGCUAUGGGAACACAGGAUGGCCGGGCAGUGAUAGUUGUACAUUUCCAUCACUCGUUGUGUUGAUUUCAUCAUGUCCAUUAGGUGAUGUUUUUUCACUAUAGAAUCAUAUUGUAAGUGCACGUGCAUUUGCAAUAUGUUUCAAUGUGCAUUUACCAUAUGAAAUUUGACAUGCUCAAAAAUGCAAAAUUGACUGGUCUGAUGAACACAGGAUGGCCGAGCAGUGAUAGUUGUACAUUUCCAUCACUCGUUGUGUUGAUUUCAUCAUGAACAUUAGGUGAUGUUUUUUCACUAUAGAAUCAUAUUGUAAGUGCACGUGCAUUUGCAAUAUGUUUCAAUGUGCAUUUACCAUAUGAAAUUUGACAUGCUCAAAAAUGCAAAAUUGACUGGUCUGAUGAACACAGGAUGGCCGAGCAGUGAGAGUUGUACCUUUCCAUCACUCGUUGUGUUGAUUUCAUCAUGUCCAUUUGUUUAUGUUUUCUCACUUUUGCAAAGUCACUGUGCAUUUGCAAUAUGGUUCAAUGGGCAGGUACCAUCACGAAUUUGUCAUGCUAUAAAAAUCCUGCAGGAAUGUGAAAUUGACUGGCCUGAU